rnacentral:rRNA from 1 species
AGUGAACGCUGGCGGUAGGCCUAACACAUGCAAGUCGAACGGCAGCACAGUAAGAGCUUGCUCUUACGGGUGGCGAGUGGCGGACGGGUGAGGAAUACAUCGGAAUCUACUUUUUCGUGGGGGAUAACGUAGGGAAACUUACGCUAAUACCGCAUACGACCUACGGGUGAAAGCAGGGGAUCUUCGGACCUUGCGCGAUUGAAUGAGCCGAUGUCGGAUUAGCUAGUUGGCGGGGUAAAGGCCCGCCAAGGCGACGAUCCGUAGCUGGCCUGAGAGGAUGAUCAGCCACACUGGAACUGAGACACGGUCCAGACUCCUACGGGAGGCAGCAGUGGGGAAUAUUGGACAAUGGGCGCAAGCCUGAUCCAGCCAUACCGCGUGGGUGAAGAAGGCCUUCGGGUUGUAAAGCCCUUUUGUUGGGAAAGAAAAGCAGCAGGUUAAUACCCCGCUGUUCUGACGGUACCCAAAGAAUAAGCACCGGCUAACUUCGUG